UGACUCGCCCAUUCAUUGCUUCGAGUUUCGUGUGGGCUCUCGUAGACAAUUUUAGACGCCUACAGUUGUUGCUAAAUAGAUUGAGUUUAAUGUUUUCAAACUUCAUAUUCUUUGUGUUUGUUGUCACUUUGAAGCAGAAUGGUCGUUACCGUAUUGCGAAUGAACAAAAGGAUUCAUUUGGGGCCUCGGAGUUCCCGAGGGCCUCGGGGUUCAUUUUAUUCUAUUUUCUCUGAUUUUUUGAUGAUUUUUUCAGCGGUUUCCUUGGGAUCCAAGGUUCGAUAUCCUCUUCGAUCCAGCGCGAGAUCGAAGGCGUCAGCGAUCGAUGAUUCAUCUGAAUCUUCUUCAGUUUCUCAAAGUAAUCGUAUGUUUAGCAAUGAGGAUGUUACUAUUGGAGCUAUGAUGCUUGCAAUGCAAUCAUGAAGAUAAUUGGGCACUUUGUUCUCCAGACUGUACAACAUCUUCAAUUUCUGUUUGGGACAUUCCUAAGUGCUCAGGGUUAUGCAACCCAGAGGCAAAGAUGUUAAUGCUCCAUAAAAGAGAAAUUUGUUCGAGCAGUCCUACUUCUGCUCAAUAGUCAGUUUUGUUCAGUUCAUACUUUUACCAAUCAAUACCUUCCAAGAGAAGCCUGUACAGGAAACCAUCCCCAAUCUGGGAACAGUGUGUGAUUGAAAUUCAUUGCUCGCCGGAUGCUUAUUUAUUUGCUAAGGAUCAAAUUCUUAUGUAUAUGUUCAUCUUGUCCAUUACUUUGAGGUCAUAUACACAAAUUUUAUCAAUUUUUUCAUUGCCCAUGCAAACUGCAGAUGUCCGGUGAUUGUUCGAUAAAAUGGAUAAAUGCAUUACUGAAUGAUUGAAGUUUAUAAAAUUGUAGCUUAAUAUACAAGUUGAUUCAGAACCAGAUUAAUACCUAAGAUAAAAGUCUGUAUUCAGGUUAACAGAUUUUCAUUAUUAAGUGGAUUAGAUUGGCUUAGUGAAAGCCAACCAUGAUCUCAACUCAUCUGCAGAAAUCAUAACCCGAAUGCAAUCGCAACUUUCUAUUUCUUAAUUCAGCCUGAUCAUGAAUUACCAUGACUGUAGUGAGUCGGAUCAGUUGAGUUCGGAAUGGAUGGCUAGAUUGAUCUAUCAAAUUGAUUUUAAAAUUCAGACGCUCUAUAUUUAUACGUGCAAACUUUUAGAGAAAUAUAUAACUGAAUUGGGUAAAAAAAUGGAGUAAAUCAAAGUAUACAAAAAUAAAAUCGGCCGUCCGUUCCGAACUCAAGGUAAUAAGAAAUUAUUUGAACAUGGUAUUACUUGGUGAAUAAACAGCAAAAAGAAUGAAGUAUUAAUACUUUUGAUGAUUGUUCUGUGAUUUGUUUCAAUAGACAUUUUGAAGCAAAAAGCAAAGGUAAAGUAGAAAAAUGAGGGUGAUGCAAAUACUUCAUACUUUCAUGCAUCCAUCAAACAGAGGAUGCAUAACAAUAAAUUGUUGCUCUUUAUAAGAGAGAGGGAGUUAAGGUUACCGAUAUAAGGAAGAUGUGAAGAAUGAAUUAAUUAGCUUUUAUAAGAAUAUGCUUGCGGAUUCUACUAAUGUCCAGAUUGUUGAUCCUAAAGCCUAUGAGAGAGGGGUAAAUUUUCUGAAGAUAAUUGCAUUCAGUUAUGCAAAAUUAUUACUAUCCAGGAGAUCAAAGAAGCUCUGUUUCAGAUUAAUCCUAAGACGAGCCCUGUCCCAGAUGGUUUUUCUUUUAAGAUCAUUGAAAAGGAUGUAUAUGAUGCAGUGAUGAGUUUCCUCAAGCACAGUUAACUAUUUAGAGAGCGGUUUCCUCGGGAUCCAAGCUCCGGCAUCAUCUUCGAUCCAGCGCGAGAUCGAAGGCGGCGGAUCAUUUGAUUUUAAUUUGCACAAAGGAGGAUGUAAGAAUUUGCGAGGAUCAGGGAGAAAUACCCUAUAAGAAGUUUCAAGGUCUCUCUUGCCAUCUCUCUCAUUUUGAACUCUUUCUCAACACAACCCCCUUUCUAUGUUUCCUUUUGUUGACGUUGUUUGCUUAUUAUCAUUUUUCUAUUAUUUUUGUCGUUCCAAAUAAUAUUGCAAAUGUAGAUUUGAUAUGGAUUUGAUCGUUCAUAGUUUGUAUUAGAUUUUCAUGCUUUGGGUUUUGGUUUGACUUGAAAGUUGAGAAUAUUGAACAUAAUUCUCAAGUUACAUUGCAGGAUGCAGCAGGAUCUUUUUACGUGGGAUUCUGAUGUCAUUCAUAUUACAUGGAUGAUGUAGCACUAAGUGGAGAUUAAAUUCGGUCCACUAUUAUUUCAUUUGGAUUUUUGUCUAAACUAAGAGUGUUGCAUGCAAUAAACUAAAGCUUUGAUCUUUUGCAUGUUCAGAUAUUGUUGCGGCAUUUUUUUUAAUCAAGGCAUAAGUUCCUUUCAAGCGCCUUUCUAUUAUUUUAGAAUGAUAUAUGUAGUUUGGACACAAACUUUUUAACCAAUACAAGGCAUUGAUUGUUUAGUUUAGAUAACCAUUUUGGUUUUUAUUUACAAAUUCUAUCAAUAUCUUACGUAUGAAUAAUAUUAAGCACUCAUUGUGGUU